rnacentral:rRNA from 2 species
CCUACGGGCGGCUGCAGUGGGGAAUAUUGCACAAUGGGGGAAACCCUGAUGCAGCGACGCCGCGUGAACGAAGAAGGUAUUCGUAUCGUAAAGUUCUGUCCUAUGGGAAGAUAAUGACAGUACCAUAGAAGAAAGCUCCGGCUAAAUACGUGCCAGCAGCCGCGGUAAUACGUAUGGAGCGAGCGUUGUCCGGAAUUAUUGGGCGUAAAGGGUACGCAGGCGGUUUAAUAAGUCGAAUGUUAAAGAUCGGGGCUCAACCCCGUAAAGCAUUGGAAACUGAUAAACUUGAGUAGUGGAGAGGAAAGUGGAAUUCCUAGUGUAGUGGUGAAAUACGUAGAUAUUAGGAGGAAUACCAGUAGCGAAGGCGACUUUCUGGACACAAACUGACGCUGAGGUACGAAAGCGUGGGGAGCAAACAGGAUUAGAUACCCGUGUAGU